AACGAACGCUGGCGGCAGGCCUAACACAUGCAAGUCGAACGCUCCGCAAGGGGAGUGGCAGACGGGUGAGUAACACGUGGGAAUCUUCCUGUUGGUUCGGAAUAGCUCAGGGAAACUUGGGGUAAUACCGGAUAAGCCCGAAAGGGGAAAGAUUUAUCGCCGACAGAUGAGCCCGCGUCUGAUUAGCUAGUUGGCGAGGUAAUGGCUCACCAAGGCGACGAUCAGUUGCUGGUCUGAGAGGAUGACCAGCCACACUGGGACUGAGACACGGCCCAGACUCCUACGGGAGGCAGCAGUGGGGAAUAUUGGACAAUGGGCGCAAGCCUGAUCCAGCCAUGCCGCGUGAGUGACGAAGGUCUUCGGAUUGUAAAGCUCUUUUGGCGGGGACGAUAAUGACGGUACCCGCAGAAUAAGCCCCGGCUAACUUCGUGCCAGCCGCCGCGGUAACAC
rnacentral:rRNA from 1 species